rnacentral:rRNA from 1 species
GUGCCAGCCGCCGCGGUAAUACGGAGGGUGCAAGCGUUAAUCGGAAUUACUGGGCGUAAAGCGUGCGUAGGCGGUUUGCUAAGUCAGAUGUGAAAGCCCCGGGCUUAACCUGGGAACUGCAUUUGAUACUGGUUAACUAGAGUUUAAUAGAGGGGAGUGGAAUUUCAGGUGUAGCGGUGAAAUGCGUAGAUAUCUGAAGGAACACCAGUGGCGAAGGCGACUCCCUGGAUUAAAACUGACGCUGAGGUACGAAAGCGUGGGUAGCAAACAGGAUUAGAAACCCGCGUAGUCC